rnacentral:rRNA from 1 species
CCUACGGGAGGCAGCAGUGAGGAAUAUUGGUCAAUGGACGAGAGUCUGAACCAGCCAAGUAGCGUGAAGGAUGACUGCCCUAUGGGUUGUAAACUUCUUUUAUAUGGGAAUAAAAUGUUCCACGUGUGGGAUUUUGUAUGUACCAUAUGAAUAAGGAUCGGCUAACUCCGUGCCAGCAGCCGCGGUAAUACGGAGGGUCCGAGCGUUAUCCGGAUUUAUUGGGUUUAAAGGGAGCGUAGGUGGAUUGUUAAGUCAGUUGUGAAAGUUUGCGGCUCAACCGUAAAAUUGUAGUUGAAACUGGCAGUCUUGAGUACAGUAGAGGUGGGCGGAAUUCGUGGUGUAGCGGUGAAAUGCGUAGAUAUCACGAAGAACUCCGAUUGCGAAGGCAGUUCACUGGACUGCAACUGACACUGAGGCUCGAAAGUGUGGGUAUCAAACAGGAUUAGAUACCCUAGUAGUC